CCUACGGGAGGCUGCAGUGGGGGAUAUUGCACAAUGGGGGGAACCCUGAUGCAGCGACGCCGCGUGGGUGAAGGAGUGCUUCGGCAUGUAAAGCCCUAUCGGCAGGGAAGAAGCAAGACGUUACCUGACUAAGAGGCCCCGGCUAACUACGUGCCAGCAGCCGCGGUAAUACGUAGGGGGCGAGCGUUAUCCGGAUUAACUGGGGGUAAAGGGAGCGUAGACGGCCAAACAAGUUAGAUGUGAAAUCCCGCGGCUCAACCGCGGAACUGCAUUUGAAACUGUUUUUCUUGAGUACCGGAGAGGUCAUCGGAAUUCCUUGUGUAGCGGUGAAAUGCGUAGAUAUAAGGAAGAACACCAGUGGCGAAGGCGGAUGACUGGACGGCAACUGACGGUGAGGCGCGAAAGCGUGGGGAGCAAACAGGAUUAGAUACCCUAGUAGUC
rnacentral:rRNA from 1 species